CAAGAUUCACAAAAGUAAGAGUGUGACGAGAGUAAAGGCUAAAGAACCGAAAACACAAAGAGAGAGAGAGUAAAAAGAAAGUGGGUAUUUUAGUAAAGAAACGAAGGUGAAAAGUUGGAUUUAACACAACAACAACGAGAGUAAGAAAGAACGGACGUGGAACCGGAUCAGAAGACCAACAAGUAGUUGAAGUAUGUAUAUAUUAAAAGAAAGACAAGAAAGUACUUAAACCACUCCGACUGACCAAGAUCCGACACUCAGAAAUUUUUUAUCCAAAAAAAAGGCGUAGUUAAUAAAAGGUAGUUGUAGUAAACAACGGGUUGUCAGGUGUUGUAUAUAAAGGAACGUCGAGGUUAGGGUUUCCUGAGAGCGUUUAUAAUUGGUUAAAAAAAAGUCAUUCAGGACAGAUUAUUCGUUAACGAAACUUUUGAUUCUAGAGAUGACGGGCUCUGAGUGGUGGAAACCAUGAGAGCAAAAGCGUACUCUAAAGUUUAAUGCAAAGUAGACAGAUUUUGAUUGGUUUAUGAUAGGAAAGUCGGAGCGAAUUGGAGGAAAGGAAGGUCAAAGUGAGCUGUUGCAAUCUGCACGGGUGUACGCUUGCGUCCAGUAAAAUUCGUAAAAGGGGUUUAAUGAGAAGGCUGCUAAUUCAACAAAGGCAAACUGACUGGUAGCGGGGAUCUUUCCUUUGUGCUCUCUUUUGGAUGGAUAUCGCUGUAUAUUUUAAAUAUAUCUAACAAUAUUAUUUUAAGGAUUUCUAGACAGUACC